AGGGGGAGGUCGGAUCCUGCGUUGUGUCCCAGGCGCCCUGUGCUCCGGGGACUGCGCUGUUGGAUUCGUGCUCCCGGCUGCGCAGCCGCCU
rnacentral:pre_miRNA from 1 species